rnacentral:rRNA from 1 species
UACGGGGGGGGCAAGCGUUGUUCGGAAUCACUGGGCGUAAAGGGCUCGUAGGCGGCCAACUAAGUCGGACGUGAAAUCCCUCGGCUUAACCGGGGAACUGCGUCUGAUACUGGAUGGCUUGAGUUUGGGAGAGGGAUGCGGAAUUCCAGGUGUAGCGGUGAAAUGCGUAGAUAUCUGGAGGAACACCGGUGGCGAAGGCGGCAUCCUGGACCAACACUGACGCUCAUGCACGAAAGCGUGGGGAGCAAACAGG